AGUUGCACUUGUGCAUUAUAACAAUGACAUAUGCAAAUUUUCAUUUAUUUAAUAUUUUUUGUAUAUAUACAAUGAGAUACAAAAGUUUCAAUAGAAAUAUAAAAUCGUCUGGCGGGCCGCACAGUUUAACGUGGAGGUUGCAUGCGGCCUGUGGUCCGCAUGUUGGCCAGGCCUGUGCUAGAGCCAUCUAUUGGAAAAUGGCAGAAGCAAAUUUGUAUACCCAAUAAAAAAAAUUGCAAUCUUCUAGCAGUUUGGAAUUAUCUUAUUAGCCAGAUAAAAGAAAUAUACUGUUAAAUAUUAAUAAUUAUUAUUUUUAAUGUAAAUGUAUGAAUUAGAUUGUUUAUACAGCCCAGCUUUCAAUGGCUGGCAUUGUGGCUACCAAGCACAGGUUGGCCACUAGACACAAUUAGCUGCAAAUUUCUAUAUUAAACAUUAAAGUUUAUGACACAAUUUCACAUUGUUAAUUAAAUCUAAGGAAAGAAAUCACUAAUUAAUG
rnacentral:lncRNA from 1 species